GCGAGGAGGGCGGGCGGGAGGCGGGAGGCGGGCGGCGCGCAGGAGGCUGAGCGAGCGGCGGGCGCGGCGGGCCAGGAUGGAUUUCCAGCAGCUGGCUGACGUUGCGGAGAAAUGGUGCUCCAACACGCCCUUCGAGCUCAUCGCCACCGAGGAGACCGAGCGCCGGAUGGAUUUCUACGCCGACCCCGGCGUCUCCUUCUACGUGCUGUGUCCGGACAACGGCUGCGGGGACAAUUUUCACGUGUGGAGCGAGAGCGAGGACUGCCUGCCUUUCUUGCAGCUAGCACAGGAUUACAUCUCCUCCUGCGGCAAGAAGACGCUCCACGAAGUCUUGGAAAAAGUCUUCAAGUCGUUCAGACCUUUACUGGGGCUUCCGGAUGCAGAUGAUGAUGCAUUUGAAGAGUACAGUGCAGACGUGGAAGAGGAGGAGCCAGAGGCGGACCACCCCCAAAUGGGGGUCAGUCAGCAGUAACCUUGCAAGGGCUCCCGUCUGAGAAGGAGAGUGAACCCCUUGGUACCUGAGGUGGGGUCGCGUGCUCCUGGGUUAGCAUUUUGCAUUAGCACUUCGAAACAGGACAUCUGACUCCCAGCAUCCAAAUUAGAACUAAGUACCUUUUUAUUGACCACAAAAUAUCUGGGAUGAGCUUUGCUCAGAAGUGACCUGAAUUUUACUCCCGUUUCAGUGGGUUUCUAUGGGGUUGUCUCGGUAGCCUUUGCCAUUUUGAAUUUAGAGUCCCAUUUUGUGGCUGACUGUUCUCUCUUGAGCUUGUGUCGGAGAACUACCAUUCGCUGACUCGAAUGUAGAGAACUCUGAAUGUAUUAAGGAUAUGUUUUGAGUCCUCACAGGUGACAUUGUGGAGGGAAAGCAUGACAGAGAAGAAAUGCAGUCUGCACUUUUUACGUACUUUUUAAGUGUCCGUAAGUGAAGGAAUUUGCUUAUGAAGCAUGGGUUUUAAUAUCUAGUCAUUAAACUGCACAAGUGCAAAUACAAGGGCAGGAAAGGAUAAUCACUUAGCUUUGGAUGAAGAGGGGAAGAGAGGCAGAGAAGCCUUUGUCGAAGUGUCCUGCCGUUACUGAGUUACCUGGAUAGAUAGCAACUGGUUCAUGGUUAGUAGAAACAUUACUUGCAUGUUCGGUUAUUUUAAAACAUGCUAAUUCCAAAGCCACUUUUACAAUCCAAGAGUGGAAAAUAUAAAUGGGGUGACAUAAAUUAUUGAUUUCUUUAAAAUGUUUAUAAACCGUCCCACAUAUGAAAUGAAACAUUUACGUUCUCUCUUUAUAACCAGAUGGCAACUUGUUAAAUCAUGAAAACAUUCAGAAUCCAAGUGCCACUUAAACUUUGAAGCCAUAGAUAAAUUUAAUGGGGAAAUAAACCAGGAUAAAAUUUUUUAAGAAUAUGAUGGAAUCCUUCUUUACUUUCUUAAUUUGUCUUUUGUUCCUAAAAAAAAAAAAAAAAAAAAAAAAAAGAAGUGGUCAAGAAAAGGAUCCCCCACUGUAUAAUUUAUUGAAAGAAUUGUCGUCAAGUGCUUCGAGGGAUCUAACUGUGGUGAAUUUUUAAAGCGAUAUGAAAGUAGAAAUUUUUCAGCCGUGGGUUAGCUUGGUUCAAAGGGGGAAGUUUCAGUGAUCCAAAAAAACUAAGACAACUCACAGAAACAGCUACUUAAUAAUUGGAAACACUGCUGUCAUCACUUAGCCAACAAAUACUUCUAGGGGAAAUCCUUUGUAAUGCUAACAUGAAAUUAUUUAAAGUGUUCAUUUUCUUGGACCCUUCUGGAUCUCUCAGAGCAGAAUGCCUCCUUCAUAACCCUUGACUAAAUGUAGCAUCUGGGGUGGGAAUGUUUUUAAUGUGCAUACACACGUUAGGUUAUCAUAGUUUGGGACUUAAAAAAAAAACAGCAGCAGCAGAGAGCACAGUGUUUCUGGGAGUCUUGUGUAUCUUCUAGGCAUAUCAGUAUUAACCUGAUUAUCUCACCAUUCUCUGUCUAAUUGAUUGGUGCCAUGAAGAGCUCGGCUGCUUGCGGUGAAACAGCGUCCUGCAGUUUUAAGUCAUGGGCUAACACAAUACGGUGGUUUCCAUCCAUGCUUCAGUACCACGUUUUUCUUUUCUUGGAACAACCCAGGUGAAUUUCAAGCAAAAAUGACUUUGCUUCCCAGUAGCCCAUUCCCACAGCAGACCUCGGUGUCCCAUCCAGUGGGGUGAGCACCCGGCCCAGGGUGCUUGAGCGCAGGUUCAAGGUGAGCUGUGUUCUGUAGCUGGCACUCAAGUUUGGUAACCUCUGCUUUAACACAAUAGGCCGAAAGAAUGACCUCCUGCCACUGAAAUGAAGAAGCUUGACUAGCUUGCUCCGUUUGAAGGUAACCUGGAAUUUUAUACAUAGAGGCUGAAAAGCUAGAUUUACGUGUGUUUGCAAAUGGAACGGAUGUUGGUAUAAAACGUGUUUUAUGAAAAAAGUGUGUAGGCUUUGACCAAAUGCAUUUGGGCGUAUUAUCAUGUUCACGUUCUGCUCGUAAAACCUGAACUGAGAUCCACUCAGCCUUUCGGUGGGCGGAGGAGAGAUCUCGUCUGUGUUCUGUCCCAGGGGUGAGGAUCACGGUACUGUAUGUUACUCAUUUUCAUGGCAAAAAUCCCAGAAGGCAUUAGCGAAUGGAGCCGUUUCCUCUAAAACUUCCUUUUUAUUCUGAUCGGGCGCCUCCCCGCCAGCACCUGCUGCCACACGGGCCCGUGCACACGCUCACGCCCACCUGGCCCGUGUUCCGUGCGGGGUCAUGUGUGCGGUCAGAGCCGCCUGGUGCCGAGCUCUCCGGGUCGGCAGCGUUGUUAUGCAAGCGGUGCCCUGGCUUGACAGGUCCCUGACUUUCACAGACACAUAAACCCUUACGAAGAAGGCCGGGUGGCGCCGUGGGAGGAGUUAGGAGAGAGACCUGGGUUCUAGGCCUGGCUCUGCCGGGGACCGUGUGACCCUGGGCAAGUCCCCUAACUCGCCUGAAACAACAGGUGUCAGCCCUUCUUGCUUUAACCACUGUCAUUCCACAGUUGCCCUGUGAUGUGUGUGUGUACGCAGAGCAACUCGAGCAAAGUUUCGUCAAGGAAACUUUAUUUAGGGAAAUAAGAACUAGAUUUGGAAUCUUGCCGAGAUGCUGUCCUGAGGACGCUGGCCACAGGGCUGCCUUAGAAUAUGUUUCUGUUCAUCCGUGAGUGUCCAGACCCCCUGGAGCCUGAGGGGCUGAUGGCUUCCCAUUCCUUAGACGAGGACAAGGUCAGGCGUCAGAUACAGAAACGUGCCCCAGAUGUGCAGGCUGUGUCUGCAGAAGGCAGGGCUUUUCCCUGGGCCCUGGCAGACUGUGGCUUUGGAAGUAGAGUAAGUUUUAACAUAACCAGGAGGGGAGAAUUUGCAUGCAGAGCUGGGAGAAAGGGAAAGAGCAGUACUUGGACUUUUUUGCCAUGUCAUCCAGUAGAGAGGAAGAAAAGUGAGAGAGAAAGAGAGAUUGUGUGUGCGUGAGCGUGUGAGCGUGUGCGCGUUGGGGGGAUUGACGGCCUGUUGAUCACUGUGGGCCAGCUGUGAAGUCCUGCCUGUGAUAACCUUACGAAAUCUUGAGAUCCAGGCUUUGAGUGAAUCAGAGACGUUUUUCCUACGGUGGCCUAGUCACUGUCUCUGCCUGACAGUCAUCCUGAGCACACUUUGCACCCUUCAGGGAACCGGAGGAUGAGUUAGGGAGCCGGGGUGGGAGGUGAGACCCCACACGAUGCCUGCCCCCACCCAGGUUCAGUUACGCCCACAUCUCCCAGACUCAUAGCAGCACAUAGGACUUUGGUUUGUUUGUUUGUUUGUUUUUAAAUAUGACUCGAAUAUGCAAAGUCUCUUAUUUAGGAAUUCUCCUUGUGUCCGGUGCCAGAAUUAGCUUUCCAGGGUCCUUAAGUGAAAAAUCUCUCUCCUCUCGUAGCUACCGUCAUUUUUCAUGGACAAAUGGAAACCUUUUCUCUAGCACAACUACAUCUCUAGAUAUUGUGUCUGUCUCAUAAGAGCACAAAGUGUAUGGACCUAGGGGAGCUGCGCUUCCAGAGCAUCGUCGGAACUUAUGUUUUAGAAACCUACCUUGCAUAUUAAAAUUCACAAGUUGGGAAAUUGGUAUGAACAAAUCUGAUUUCCCACGGUUCGAGAGGCACAUUAGGAAUAGGCAGGACUUAAUCUGGGGUGGGAGGAAAGGAAUAAGGGAGAAGGGGAGAGUUAGGGUCUAAUUCUUUUAAAAAAAGAGAAAAAAAAGCUAGAAGACAGGUAUCACGUAAGGUACAGGAGAACUGUUUUCGUGGCUAUCCCACUAGGAGGUGGCUUUGCUCACAGGGACUGCCUGCAUGUUGAGAGGCAAGACCCAUGUCGGGGAUGACUUUGUGGCUUUACGGAUACCCCGCAGCCAAGGAGACAGCAUGUGUCCUGCAAAUCUGGUGGAGGUUUCCUCGGUAAACCAGCUGCCAGCCAGAGAAGCCCGUCUUCCCAAAGUGCUAACACACCUGUGGGCUCCAGUCACCUUGGGCAGCCCGUGAGCCAGAUGUGACCCACAUGUGCUUGCUCUCAGCGUGGAGGAGGCCGUGGGUCAGGAAUGCCCCCCCCCCCCCGCCCCAGGCCUGGAGAGCAGAGCCCACCUACCCCACGGUGCUUCAGGUUGUAGAAAGAACACAAUUAAAACGGCAGCGGAUCGCAGAUCCCUCUUCCCUAUAGCGAGUGUUAACCCCAAAGAGGUGCCACUGCCUAUUACUCAGUCUUCAGAUUACCAGAGAAGCCUAACGUUUUUUUUUGUUUUUUGUUUUUUGUUUUUUAAUGAAACACUAAUCCUCUUCCACAAAGAUCCAGUUAGUUCUCUCGGUUUGGGGACACCAGGUAUGACAUGAUAGGCUGAAGUCCUUUGGAUUUUACACAGAAUACCGAAAACUUGCCAGGAUGCCAGUAGCCUCUGGUGUUCAUGGCAACGUGGUGUCCAUGGUAAAAUAGCUAUACUCACAUUCCCCUGGGAUUAAGUUGUUAAAUAAUAUGUUGUCUCUGAUAUUUUUAUUUAAAUUUGUAUUACCAAAAUAGAGGGCCCAUGAGCAUCACCUGUUAGAAACCUCGUUUAAAGCACCGUGUGGCUGGAUAGACCCGGGCAGUUGAAAGCGUGCGCCAAGCCACAUAAAAAUAAACAAUUUACUGAGAACUGUAUUCCAGUUAUUCAGUAUCGAGAAAGCAGAUAGUCUGUUCUCUGUCAAACUGCCUUUCCCUGUUGUUUUCUUUUGUUUUCGUUUCUGAAGGGUCGUUUUUUUACUCUGAGUACCUUCUGAUAGCCAGGCGGGUAAAGACACAGCAGUACUGUGUACACACGUCACCUCUUCAGAGGAGAAGGCAAAUGAUCAAUUCUAGGGAAAAUCGGAAACGAUCCGUGAGCCAGUCUUCAUCUGUGUGUGAGAGCAGAGCUUAGCCAUCUACGGGAGAAACAAAAUCAAGGAACGGUUUUGGGGUUCUUUUUCCUUAGGCAAAAAUGUUUCAUGCAGGGUGUGUAUGUUUUCUUUGCCUUUAUAUUUCCUUUCCUAGAAAUCUCUUGUAAAUGACAAAACUGUGAAAUGGGUUGCCAAAAAAUUGUUGCCCUUUGUUUUAGAUGCCACAAGCAGUGUAAAUCCCAAACGGAACCCUGUCCAAUCUGCUCCUUCCUCCCUCCCCAGAGAGUGAGGAUCUCAUCCACCAAUGUAAUUACCAUACGCUUGCUAUUAAAGAGCCUUCCAAACUA